UAAGAGGUUAUCAUAGAAAAGGUUAUGGGUUUCACUAAAAAUCAUGUAUUUUUGUCAUUGUUUUGCAAUUUUAUAACUGUAGAGUCUUUGCCUCCUCCAUUGGGCGCCACCGCUGAGCAACCCCCGUUCUUCGAUGGAACUACCAGGUUGUAUACUUCUUAUAGUUGCCCUUUUGCGCAGCGUGUUUGGAUCACCAGG